UUACGUAAUUACGUAAGAAUUUUCAUUUUAAGAUAAGAACUUUUGCACGAUCAAGAUAGAUCUUUUGACGUGCAUACUCUCAAUGUCGUACACAUGUUUGUGAUAGAUUGUUCAAGUUGGUAAGCCUUGCAAGUUCAUGACAAACUUAGUCAGUUCAUGAUAUAGUUGGAUUCGAAAGUUAUGAACGGAUGAAAUCGAUGGGUUCGAAAAUCCAGAGGAUAUGUGAAGGGAGAAUCA
rnacentral:lncRNA from 1 species